rnacentral:rRNA from 1 species
GGUGGUAAUGCCGGAUGCUCCGGUUGGAUGCAUGUCCUUCCGGGAAAGAUUCUAUCGGUAUGGGAUGGGGUCGCGUCCUAUCAGCUUGAUGGCGGGGUAACGGCCCACCAUGGCUUCGACGGGUAGCCGGCCUGAGAGGGCGACCGGCCACAUUGGGACUGAGAUACGGCCCAGACUCCUACGGGAGGCAGCAGUGGGGAAUAUUGCACAAUGGGCGCAAGCCUGAUGCAGCGACGCCGCGUGCGGGAUGGAGGCCUUCGGGUUGUAAACCGCUUUUGAUCGGGAGCAAGCCCUUCGGGGUGAGUGUACCUUUCGAAUAAGCACCGGCUAACUACGUGCCAGCAGCCGCGGUAAUACGUAGGGUGCAAGCGUUAUCCGGAAUUAUUGGGCGUAAAGGGCUCGUAGGCGGUUCGUCGCGUCCGGUGUGAAAGCCCAUCGCUUAACGGUGGGUCUGCGCCGGGUACGGGCGGGCUGGAGUGCGGUAGGGGAGACUGGAAUUCCCGGUGUAACGGUGGAAUGUGUAGAUAUCGGAAAGAAC